rnacentral:rRNA from 1 species
GAUGAACGCUAGCGAUAGGCCUAACACAUGCAAGUCGAGGGGCAUCACAUGAAGUAGCAAUACGGAUGGUGGCGACCGGCGCACGGGUGAGUAACACGUAUGCAACCUGCCUUCAACAAGGGGAUAACCCGUUGAAAGACGGACUAAUACCCUAUAACACAGGGGUCCCGCAUGGGAAUAUUUGUUAAAGGACAACCGGUUGAAGAUGGGCAUGCGUUCCAUUAGCUAGUUGGCGGGGUAACGGCCCACCAAGGCAACGAUGGAUAGGGGAACUGAGAGGUUUAUCCCCCACACUGGUACUGAGACACGGACCAGACUCCUACGGGAGGCAGCAGUGAGGAAUAUUGGUCAAUGGACGCAAGUCUGAACCAGCCACGUCGCGUGAAGGAAGACGGCCCU